rnacentral:rRNA from 1 species
CUUUAUUGGAGAGUUUGAUCCUGGCUCAGGACGAACGCUGGCGGCAUGCCUAAUACAUGCAAGUCGAGCGGACUUGAUGAGAAGCUUGCUUCUCUGAUAGUUAGCGGCGGACGGGUGAGUAACACGUAGGCAACCUGCCCACAAGCUUGGGACAACUACCGGAAAC